UACGAAGGGGGCUAGCGUUGCUCGGAAUUACUGGGCGUAAAGCGCACGUAGGCGGUCUCUUAAGUCGGUGGUGAAAUCCUGGAGCUCAACUCCAGAACUGCCUUCGAUACUGGGAGUCUUGAGUCCGGGAGAGGUGAGUGGAACUGCGAGUGUAGAGGUGAAAUUCGUAGAUAUUCGCAAGAACACCAGUGGCGAAGGCGGCUCACUGGCCCGGUACUGACGCUGAGGUGCGAAAGCGUGGGGAGCAAACAGG
rnacentral:rRNA from 1 species